AAAAAAUUUUAACUAUUUUUCACAAUUUUUACAUAUGCAGUUUUGUAGUCCAUUAAGUUUAAGUAGGUAAAAGUGAGAAUUUCAAGAUACUAGGAAAUCGCGUUCAUUUUUAAUAAUUUUUUUUGGCUGACGGCGCUAAGCAUUUUCUUCUAUA